rnacentral:rRNA from 1 species
AGUGAACGCUGGCGGCAGGCCUAACACAUGCAAGUCGAGCGGCAGCGCGUCCGACCACCCUCGGGUGGUCGGAUGGCGGCGAGCGGCGGACGGGUGAGGAAUGCAUCGGAAUCUGCCUCGUUGUGGGGGACUAACGUAGGGAAACUUACGCUAAGUACCGCAUACGACCUAACGGGUGAAAGUGGGGGACCUUCGGGCCUCACGCGAUGAGAUGAGCCGAUGCCGGAUUAGCUAGUUGGCGGGGUAAAGGCCCACCAAGGCGACGAUCCGUAGCUGGUCUGAGAGGAUGAUCAGCCACACUGGAACUGAGACACGGUCCAGACUCCUACGGGAGGCAGCAGUGGGGAAUAUUGGACAAUGGGGGCAACCCUGAUCCAGCCAUGCCGCGUGUGUGAAGAAGGCCUCGGUGUAAG